AUCAGAAAUAAGAAAAUGAUGCAGAAAUCCACUUCCGGGGCCCACUUAGUGUAUGUUUGGACUGAGCACUGAAGCUUCCACAUGCAUAGGCUAUUCUUGGCAUUGAACUCCAGCUUUUGUGCCAGUUUGGGCAUUUAACUCCAACUUUUAUGCCAGUUAUGGCAUUUAACGCCAGAAAAGGGUAAGGAGCUGGCGUUUAAACGCCAGUUUGCGCUACCAAAUCUCGGGCCAAGUAAGGACUAUUAUAUAUUUCUGGAAAGCCCAAGAUGUAUACUUUCUAACGUAAUUGAGAGCACGUCAAUUGGACUUCUGUAGCUCCAAAAAAUCCAUUUUGAGUGCAGGGAGGUCAGAAUCCAACAACAUCUGUAGUCCU